rnacentral:rRNA from 1 species
UACGGAGGGUGCAAGCGUUAAUCGGAAUUACUGGGCGUAAAGGGCGCGUAGGUGGUAUUGUAAGUUGGCUGUGAAAUCCCCGAGCUUAACGUGGGGCGGUCAGUUGAUACUGUGAUACUAGAGGCUAUGAGAGGGUAGUGGAAUUUCAGGUGUAGCGGUGAAAUGCGUAGAGAUCUGAAGGAACACCAGUGGCGAAGGCGACUACCUGGCAUAGACCUGACACUGAGGCGCGAAAGCGUGGGGAGCAAACAGG